rnacentral:rRNA from 1 species
UACGUAGGGGGCAAGCGUUGUCCGGAAUCAUUGGGCGUAAAGAGCGUGUAGGCGGCCCGGUAAGUCCGCUGUAAAAGUCAAAGGCUCAACCUUUGAAUGUCAGUGGAUACUGCCGGGCUAGAGUCCGGAAGAGGCGAGUGGAACUCCUGGUGUAGCGGUGGAAUGCGCAGAUAUCAGGAAGAACACCGGUGGCGAAGGCGGGUCUCUGGGCCGUAACUGACGCUGAGGAGCGAAAGCAUGGGGAGCGAACAGG